rnacentral:tRNA from 1 species
UCCCUGAUAGUUCAGUUGGUAGAGAAUCUGCCUGAAAUGCAGGAGACACUGGUUCAAUUUCUGGUUUGGGAA